GCUGUAAAUUUGUGACAAUUUUUAAGCUAGGGCAAUUUUAUUCAUUUACUGUCUGAGAAAAGAUGGGAUCUCUGAGUUUAUAAUUCAACUUGUUCGAGACAUGUAUUGAUGUAUAUUUGUAGUACUUCACCUCGGCUCAUGCAGUACUAUAGCUUAAUUCAGUCAAGGAUAAAACUGAUUUCAUCUUUAUAUGGUGAGCUGUUAUCAAAAUGCUACUGGGAUUGAGUUAUUGGAUGAUUAAUGUUUUGUAAUUCAUAAAUCAGGCAUCUCCAGAUGAACUUUCUGGUAGCAGAAUAUAUUGAAUUUUUUUACAUGACAUGAUUGAACAUACUGAAUAAAAUUUCUAUUAUGCUGUGUUAUAGGUUACCUUGAGCUCAUGGAAACAUUAUAAAUUGUACAACACUAACAUCGAAUAAACAUGGUGAUGAUUGUGGAGAUAAUGCGGCGACUGUGGUUAUAACAACCAUAUAGUGUUUACCAAUCAGAAACAAAUUUAAACAUAGAAGAAACAAUACAGAUUGGAUGCUGAUGAAACAAAGAUGGAAGAAUGUAUUGCCUUAUAAUAACAAUUCACAUUACAUAAGAGCACAAGUAUUGUUUAUGAGUUGGAAUAAUUUGAUUGAGUUGAGAAUGGUUUAAUUGAUUGACUUGGGAAUAUUAUCCAGUGCUGGUUGAGAGUCAGAAAAUUAUGUCCUUAAAUAUAGCCACCUAUAAUAAAAUGUUUUCUAGUUCUAUUUCCUAUAGCUACUUUAUAUAUUUCAUUAUCUUUUUGUAUGGAUAUACGAUAACUGAUUUCAAGCACCAUGUUACAUGCCAUGUGAACAAAAAUGGUAUAGCAGUUUUAACAUUCUGGCUAAAGUAGUUAUCUGGCCAACAUUGAGAUAUACAUACUGAUAGUUUUGGUCCUAGUUGUUGUAAAAAAUUCAAUAUAUAGCAUAUGCUUUAUACCACACUAAUGAUCA